GGUGCCGACACCCUGGGUCUCCACACCUGCACCUGAGACAAGGCUGCGGGACACGUGCUGGCUGCGUGGGGACCAGCGGGAGAGUGGCCCACAGGGGUGGCCCCAAGAGGGCCUGCAGACUGGUGAUUUUGGUGAAACGCAGACGUGUGACUUCUUGGGGAGGAAACACUGGUUCUUUGCACGCUUGCCUCUCGCGUGUCCACAGGCAGCUCGUUCGCAGGAGAGCCAAACACAGCAGCCUCGAAGAACAAGAAAACCAGAGCUCGGCGCUGACUUCUCAAUUCUGAGCUAUACAUGUGAGUAAGAGCAGAAAACGUGCUUUAUUUGCAGCUUGUCUGCCCGAUUUGAGAUACUCAGGCCUCUGGUGGGCGGGUCUUGCUUAGUACUCUUGCAGACCUCAGAGGCUGCCUGGGUAGUUUUAGUGACAGCUUUCUUGAUACAUAAUUCCGCAAGCUGCAGAGCUCAUGCUUCUGAAGUGUGCGCAUAUUCAUUGCCCUGCAUUGAUCACCGCUAAUUCCAGAACACUUAACGUCCGCCACAAAGAACCUCUGCCCCUUUAGCGCUGCACCCAGCCUGAAAUCACUCCUCCUGUGUGAGGCUGCCGGCUCUGGUCACUUCCCACCAAUGGAACCGUGUGACAGCACCCUGCGUCUGUCCUCUGGCAUCGGGCCGUUGACUGUGAUGCCUCCACAGUGUGCCUCUCUUUCCUGUGGUAAGUAGCACUCUGUGGUGUGGUACAUCCAUUCCUCAGUUCAUGGACAUUCACAGUUUAUUUUUUAUUUUUUUGAGACAGGGUCUCUCUGUGCGUUUUGGCUGCUCUUGAACUCACUAGGUAGCCCUGGCUGGCCUUGAACUUGUG
rnacentral:lncRNA from 1 species